AUGAAGAAUCAAGUAAAUAAAAAUUUUUAUGAGUGAGUUGCUGGGUUUAUAGAUGCUGAAGGGUGUUUUCACAUAAAACGUAAAAUAAUGUCUAAUAAUAAAAUGCGUUAUUAUUUUGAGUUUGUAAUUAAAUUACACAUAGACGAUGAAGCCGUUUUAAGGACUAUUUGUCACAUACUAGGUGUGGGACGAGUAGUACUAAGACCUAAAUAUAAUACUUGUUCCUUUGAGGUAGGUUCUGAAAAGGAACUACGUAUUCUCAUCGAUUUAUUGGACGAGUUUCAAUUAAUGGGUGAUAAGUAUUUAGAUUAUAUUAAUUUCAGGGAGGCUUUCUUUUUAUACUUUGAUCGUUCAGAUUCAGUCACUGAAUCUUUGAAGACCAAAAUUGAAGAGAUACGGGCCAACCAUAAUACAAAACGUGCAUCUACUACUCUACCUGUCAAUUAUAAACGCGUAAUUACUGAUUAUAAGUUAUUAGGGUUUAUAGAAGGGGAGGGUAGUUUCAUCGUACAGACACGGGGGUUAACUCCUAAAUUUGAAUUAGAGUUAACUUCAGCUCAAAAACCCCUUUUAAUAGAUAUUUGUGAAUAUUUGAUGCUACGUAUCCAACUAAUAGCUGAUGCGACACAACCUCUAAAUCUACCUUCUAAAGGUGGAAUUAAAAUACGUGAUCGUAAGGCUAAGGGUAAUAGUAAACCUUCCGUGAGAUUAGAAAUCACAGGAAUUGAUUUUUUACACAAUUAUUUUAAUGUGUUUUUAAGCAAAUUAGAAUUUUAUUCUAGAAAGAAGGAGGAUUUUAAAAGCUUUUGCUUUAUUUGUAACAAAUUAUUUAGCAAAGCACACAUUGAUAAUGAAGAAGUAAAAAUUUUAUUAUUAAGGCUUUCAGAGGGAAUGAAUGGAGCAAGAUUAUCUACAAAUAAACUUACAGAUAAAACAUUAACCGAUAAGAUUAUUUGCAGGGAUGAAGAAACUCCUGAUUCUUAA
rnacentral:rRNA from 1 species